UACGUAGGGUGCGAGCGUUGUCCGGAAUUACUGGGCGUAAAGAGCUCGUAGGUGGUUUGUCACGUCGUCUGUGAAAUUCCGGGGCUUAACCUCGGGCGUGCAGGCGAUACGGGCAAUACUUGAGUGCUGUAGGGGAGACUGGAAUUCCUGGUGUAGCGGUGAAAUGCACAGAUAUCCUGAGGAACACCGGUGGCGAAAGCGGUCUUCUGGCGCGAAACUGACGCUGAGGCUCGAAAGCGUGGGUAGCAAACGGGAUUAGAUACCCCGGUAGUCCCU
rnacentral:rRNA from 1 species